UGGGUUCAUAUAUUUGUAAAUCUGACUCUGAAAAGGUCAGUGCCUCACCAGCCACGGGCCUCACUACACGUCUCUGAUACCUAUGUAUGUUGUGUCUUUAUAUUCAAUGAAAAAUAAUAUUUUUUGUGUUUGCAUGCGUCCGUGAGUCUGUGUGUCAACUGAAGACAUCUGAUAAGAGUGUCUUCACUCUGAUAAGAGUUUCAACUGUCACUUCCUGACACUGAUGAUAUCAGAUUUGCAGGCUGACGACUGCUCAGAAUUAAAACAUGCAACGUGUUUUUUCCAGCUGAUAUAUCAGAGCCGACUCCUGAGAGCAGACGUAUCUGAAGCUGUCAGGGAGGAACCAUGGCGACCAUCUCUGAACCGGACCCUGGACUCUCUGAGGAACCUGGGGACACGUCUUUGGACCGGAGGGAGCGCAGGAAGAGAAGAUUUGCUGGUAGAGCAAAGAAGAAGGCUAAGUCCAGACGCCGUGGAAGCCGUCAGAGAGUAACAAUGGUCACCAUCUCUGAACCGAACCCUGGGCUCUCUGAGGACCCUGAGGACACGUCUUUGGACCGGGAGGAGACCAGGAAGAGAAGAUUUGCUCUAUGGUUUCACAUCACUGUCAUUGUGAGCAUCGGACUGCUGAGUAUUCUCCUCAUCUCCCUGCGCUUCAGUGAGUCUAAAUCAUAUCCUCCUAAACAGAAUAACAAUACAGUAUAAUCAUAUCAUUGAUUGUAUUAAUAGCAAUGAUAAUGUUAGAUAUUGUUUUUGUUAGAUUUAGUGAUAAUAAUAGGGUUAGCACACAUACACCGCACGCACACACAUAAACACAGCAUA